CCUGGAGUUACUGUAAAAGACGUGAACCAGCAGGAGUUCGUCAGAGCUCUGGCAGCCUUCCUCAAAAAGUCCGGGAAGCUGAAAGUCCCCGAAUGGGUGGAUACCGUCAAGCUGGCCAAGCACAAAGAGCUUGCUCCCUACGAUGAGAACUGGUUCUACACGCGAGCUGAGUUGCACUGUCACCAGGCUGGAGUACACUGGUGCCGUCUCGGCUAACUGCAACCUCUGCCUGCCGGGUUCAAGCAAUUCUCCUACCUCAGCCUCCCAAGUACCUGGGACUACAGGACCUGCUGAAGAUGGAGAUGUGGGAGUCCAGUUUGGUGUCCUGGUGUGCGUCUGAGAGCAGCUGCUGAAUUGGGAUGUCUGGAAACACUUCUUGUAGGUUGGAGGCUGCUCCAUCUCUGGCUCCUGCAUGGGGCUGGGCACCCACUUGUGCUAUGAUAGUAGAAAGAAUGAGAUCUGGGAGGCAUCACAGAAGUGAGUUAAGGGAUGAAUCAAGGUCAGGAGAGUGGUUUCUUACAAGUUCGGCAGAGAAGGGUCAGCUAGAGUGUGCUGGGGAAGUUCUUCCCUGCCUUUGACUCAGUAGGUCAGGAUGGGACCACCGGUCUGGACUUUGCUGAGCUGUGAUGACUCCUAAGGAGCCGUGCUUGGUUGGUCUGCCCCGUGCUCAGAUCCAGAGGGACCCUCCCUCUCGGUCUAGCAGGAACACAGCUGCCCUCCCUUGACCAUGAACUCACAGUAGAGUGGAGAGGGGUGGCCUCCUUUACAGUUCCAGGUAGGGGGUGAUUCCUGGACAGGGGUUCCUGAGAGGAGUGGGUUGCCAUCCCAAGAAUGCACACAGCAGAGGAGCAGAAGGCCUCUAGCAUGGAGGAACUGGAGGAGAACCCAUUUGUGACAGCAACUUGCUCGCAAUUGGCCCUCAUGAGUACCAGCUACGGCGGUCUGCAUUUGUGCAGCUCCACAUCAAAAGCUGGGGCUGGAACCUUGGUCUCCAGGGGGUGAGGAAAAAGCUUCCACAGCGCGGCACCUGUACCUCCGGGGUGGCGCUGGGGUUGGCUCCAUGACCAAGAUCUAUGGGGGACGUCAGAGAAACGGCGUCAUGCCCAGCCACUUCAGCCGAGGCUCCAAGAGUGUGGCCCGCCGGGUCCUCCAAGCCCUGGAGGGGCUGAAAA
rnacentral:lncRNA from 1 species